GGGGUUGGCAAUUUAUGACAAAAUAUAAUUUUGUAUCAGUAUAAGGGAUGACAAUAAUAAUUGUUACCUCUUGACAUUUAUUAUUAUUUGAACUGUGAAUUUCACUGUCUCAGAAAACCACGGCUAGUAGAAGUUUCUGCCUGUAUGUGUGACUAGUUAACGAAAACAACACAUUUAGGACCCUGACGUACGCAAGUCUUAUGCUACAGUAUAUUUUAUACUUCUGAGUAGGAGUUUUGGUAUCGUCAUUAACUGAACUUUCCAAUACCCGAUUAUGUUGACUACAGACCUCUACAUUUUAAAAGGUCCCAGCUCCUCAAAUAAAUUUCCCAAUAGUUAUUCUCUGUCAGUUAAACUCCAUAAUUUCUAAUACUAUUAUUGAUCCUCAGGUGUCUGGCAUUUUUUGCGAUGGGAACUACAUGCUGUCCAAAAGUUUGCAAGACCUUCCCUACUGCAACAAGUCUUCCUUAGCUGCAUGGGACUACAGCAAGAAGAAAGGAGCCUACACGAGUAUCAGGGGCGUGAGUUUAAUUAAUAAAUUAUCUUUAUCGUCACAAAAAUUUAGUUACUAUUUUCUUAUGUCAAUUACUCUAGUUAUAAAGUAUUAAGCUUCUUCUAGUUAAUAAUUGGGCGUAGUUCUCUGGAAAAAAGUACUAAUAUUUAAAGCUGAUAUGAAAUGAACUGGUUAAUAGACGUUUUGGAUUAACAUUACUUAAAUGCAGGUCAUUCUCUAAGAUGAAGCAAAUUAUUUAAAUAAUUUCAUUGUGCAAUCGAUGCCGUGAUUCGGGGUAAUCCGGAAGAAAGGUGUUUGUUUUGAUAUGAAAUAUUUUUAAACGCUAUAACUAUAUCACAAUAAGCUUCGGAACAGACUUUGAAUUGAACUGUUACGGACGGAGAGUUUUAGUACGGAAACAGUUGUGAUUACAUGAAUGUGUCGUUUUGAUAGGAAUACUGGAUACACUAGGAUUGAAGAGGAUAAAAGAAGAUGUAUUCCGUCCGCCAACCCCUACGCAAAUCUCAACCAGGAUCAUUUCGUUACCCUACAACUCUACGGAUAUACACCCACUUCAGUACUCCCAGCCCCGCUCACUCCGCUCCUCAUUAUAGUCAAUAAUUUUGAUAAAUUAUUGAUCAUUCUGGGGGACGUGAAAAGCAUACAUGGAUUCCCCUUCACUUCCAGAAAAUUCUUUUCAGCUAAUAUAACGCUCCAGGCACCACAAGAACCAACCAACCUCUGAGCCCUUCAACGCCAGGAAGACCGAACAUCACGUGUCGUGCGAUGACUGAAACGUUUGUAGCUACUCUUAGGAAUACUGGAUACACUAGGAUUGAAGAGGAUAAAAGAAGAUGUAUUCCGUCCGCCAACCCCUACGCAAAUCUCAACCAGGAUCAUUUCGUUACCCUACAACUCUACGGAUAUACACCCACUUCAGUACUCCCAGCCCCGCUCACUCCGCUCCUCAUUAUAGUCAAUAAUUUUGAUAAAUUAUUGAUCAUUCUGGGGGACGUGAAAAGCAUACAUGGAUUCCCCUUCACUUCCAGAAAAUUCUUUUCAGCUAAUAUAACGCUCCAGGCACCACAAGAACCAACCAACCUCUGAGCCCUUCAACGCCAGGAAGACCGAACAUCACGUGUCGUGCGAUGACUGAAACGUUUGUAGCUACUCUUAGGAAUACUGGAUACACUAGGAUUGAAGAGGAUAAAAGAAGAUGUAUUCCGUCCGCCAACCCCUACGCAAAUCUCAACCAGGAUCAUUUCGUUACCCUACAACUCUACGGAUAUACACCCACUUCAGUACUCCCAGCCCCGCUCACUCCGCUCCUCAUUAUAGUCAAUAAUUUUGAUAAAUUAUUGAUCAUUCUGGGGGACGUGAAAAGCAUACAUGGAUUCCCCUUCACUUCCAGAAAAUUCUUUUCAGCUAAUAUAACGCUCCAGGCACCACAAGAACCAACCAACCUCUGAGCCCUUCAACGCCAGGAAGACCGAACAUCACGUGUCGUGCGAUGACUGAAACGUUUGUAGCUACUCUUAGGAAUACUGGAUACACUAGGAUUGAAGAGGAUAAAAGAAGAUGUAUUCCGUCCGCCAAACCCUACGCAAAUCUCAACCAGGAUCAUUUCGUUACCCUACAACUCUACGGAUAUACACCCACUUCAGUACUCCCAGCCCCGCUCACUCCGCUCCUCAUUAUAGUCAAUAAUUUUGAUAAAUUAUUGAUCAUUCUGGGGGACGUGAAAAGCAUACAUGGAUUCCCCUUCACUUCCAGAAAAUUCUUUUCAGCUAAUAUAACGCUCCAGGCACCACAAGAACCAACCAACCUCUGAGCCCUUCAACGCCAGGAAGACCGAACAUCACGUGUCGUGCGAUGACUGAAACGUUUGUAGCUACUCUUAGGUAAGCUAGAUAAUUUGAAUGUUCGCUACGCAUAUAGCCUAAUGUACAAAUCUUUUACUCAACAAAACUCUCCGUCCAAAAGUAACAGUUUAAUUUCCGAACUCAGUUAUCCUGCACCCUUUAUGUAAUAAUGGAAUGGACUCGAACAAGUUGCUUAUCAUUAAGAGAACCAAUGAAUCAUCCAAAUAAAUCAGAAUUUUAUUAGUUACUUAAUAAAUAGCACGUACUAAUAGAAUAGAUAAUAUUAUAUAAUUUCAACAUGAUAUACAAUAUUAAAGUAGGUUAAUAUUUCAAACACUAACUAGUAUAGUUUAAUAAAAAUUCUUUUCUUUGGUUACAACUAGGUUUACUAUCCGGCAUUACAUUCACAUGUAAUAUACAUUUACUUUCAAAUAAUUCCUACGAGGAAUUGCGAAAUAUAUGUACAGCUACAGACCAUAAUAUUGCUAUAAUUAUGUUGAAUACUUCAUAUAAUCUAAUUUUUAUACAUUUUUAAAGUUUGAAUAGGGGGUGGCAAUUUAUGACAAAAUAUAAUUUUGUAUCAGUAUAAGGGAUGACAAUAAUAAUUGUUACCUCUUGACAUUUAUUAUUAUUUGAACUGUGAAUUUCACUGUCUCAGAAAACCACGGCUAGUAGAAGUUUCUGCCUGU
rnacentral:lncRNA from 1 species